AGAAACUACAAAGGAAGUGACGGGGCCCGCACAAGCGGUGGAGUAUGUGGUUUAAUUCGAUGCAACGCGAAGAACCUUACCUGGUCUUGACAUCCCGGAGACCCUUAGGAAACUAGGGGUGCUUCCAUCUGGAAGAAUCUGGAGACAGGUGCUGCAUGGCUGUCGUCAGCUCGUGUCGUGAGAUGUUGGGUUAAGUCCCGCAACGAGCGCAACCCUUGCCUUUAGUUGCCAGCAGUUCGGCUGGGCACUCUAAAGGGACUGCCGGUGUUAAACCGGAGGAAGGUGGGGAUGACGUCAAGUCCUCAUGGCCUUUAUGACCAGGGCUACACACGUACUACAAUGGCCGAUACAAAGGGCAGCGACACUGCGAGGUGAAGCCAAUCCCGUAAAAUCGGUCUCAGUCCGGAUUGGAGUCUGCAACUCGACUCCAUGAAGUUGGAAUCGCUAGUAAUCGUGGAUCAGCAUGCCACGGUGAAUACGUUCCCGGGCCUU
rnacentral:rRNA from 1 species